UAAAUGGACGCCAUGCAGUGAACAGUUAAAAAACAAACAAAAUCAGGUCACAUCUGUUUUACUGUGAAUUGGUUCAGUCACACAUCACAAUGAACAAAGUCAAUUCAGGCCAACAAAAUACCUGAGAAGAGGAAACUAUUACUCCAUGUUGAAGCUGACACCCAUUGAUUUAUAUAGCUUGACUGUAGAUUGACUAUAGCAUCCAUUGAUUAUAGCUUGACUAUAGAUUGACUAUAGCAUCUAUUGAUUA